rnacentral:rRNA from 1 species
GAUGAACGCUAGCGGCAGGCUUAACACAUGCAAGUCGAGGGGCAGCGCGGGAUAGCAAUAUCCUGGCGGCGACCGGCGGAAGGGUGCGUAACGCGUGAGCGACAUGCCCGUUGCCCGGGGACAACCGGUGGAAACGCCGACUAAUCCCCGAUGGGAUAUUGUGCCGCAUGGCACGAUAUUGAAAGUUACGGCGGCGACGGAUUGGCUCGCGUCCGAUUAGCUGGUUGGCGGGGUAACGGCCCACCAAGGCUGCGAUCGGUAGGGGUUCUGAGAGGAAGGCCCCCCACAAUGGGACUGAGACACGGCCCAUACUCCUACGGGAGGCAGCAGUGGGGAAUAUUGGUCAAUGGGCGGAAGCCUGAACCAGCCAUGCCGCGUGCGGGAAGGAGGCCCUAUGGGCUGUGAACCGCUUUUGCCUGGGGGCAAUAAGGGCGUCGCGCACGUCCGAUGAGAGUACCAGGCGAAUAAGCAUCGGCUAACUCCGUG